UCGANCGCAGUAGCAAUACUGAGUGGCAGACGGGUGAGUAACAUGUGGGAAUCUGCCUUGUGGUUCAGGACAACAUUGGGAAACCGAUGCUAAUACUGGAUAAGCCCUUACGGGGAAAGUUUUAAUGCCAUAAGAUGAGCCCGCAUUUGAUUAGUUAGUUGGUGAGGUAAUGGCUCACCAAGACAAUGAUCAAUAGCUGAUCUGAGAGGAUGAUCAGCCACACUGGGACUGAGACACGGCCCAGACUCCUACGGGAGGCAGCAGUGGGGAAUCUUGCACAAUGGAGGAAACUCUGAUGCAGCGAUGCCGCGUGAGUGAAGAAGGCCUUUGGGUUGUAAAGCUCUUUUGUAGGGGAAGAUAAUGACUGUACCCUAAGAAUAAGGUCCGGCUAACUUCGUGCCAGCAGCCGCGGUAAUACGAAGGGACCUAGCGUAGUUCGGAAUUACUGGGCGUAAAGCGCGCGUAGGCCGUCGAGUUAGUUAAUUGUGAAAUCCCAAAGCUCAACUUUGGAACUGCAAUUAAAACUGCUCGACUAGAGUUUGAUAGAGGAAAGCGGAAUACAUAGUGUAGAGGUGAAAUUCGUAGAUAUUAUGUAGAACACCAGUUGCGAAGGCGGCUUUCUGGAUCAACACUGACGCUGAGGCGCGAAAGUAUGGGUAGCAAAGAGGAUUAGAUACCCUCGUAGUCCAUACCAUAAACGAUGAUUGCUAGAUGUUGGAAAUUUAUUUUCAGUAUCGCAGCUAACGCAUUAAGCAAUCCGCCUGGGGAGUACGACCGCAAGGUUAAAACUCAAAUGAAUUGACGGGGACCCGCACAAGCGGUGGAGCAUGUGGUUUAAUUCGAAGAUACGCGCAGAACCUUACCAACCCUUGACAUGUCUGUCGCGAGUUUANGAAACUAGACUCUUCGGUUCGGCCGGACAGAACACAGGUGCUGCAUGGNUGUCGUCAGCUCGUGUCGUGAGANGUUGGGUUAAGUCCCGCAA
rnacentral:rRNA from 1 species